UCCGGCACGCUCCAAGUCCGCACAUGCGCCGUCACAGAGAGCUGGGUGCCCCGCGGGGGUCGCUGUCUGGGGCGCGUGGAGGCCCAAC
rnacentral:sRNA from 1 species